rnacentral:lncRNA from 1 species
GGGGUGAAGAUGUUAAGGGGGGCAUCGAAAUAUUCUUUGUCAAUCUGGCAUUAAACGGGGGGCUCGAUAUACUGACAGUGGGGGGAAGCUCUAAACUUUUCAAAGUUUUGGUCCAGCAGGGGUCUGGAGUGUUCACUCCCACAUAGUUAAUGGAAUAGAUGGUUUGAAAACUCCCCCUACUGUGAAAUUCAGGCAAAUACCGGGUGGCGCAAAAAAAAGUAUAACUGUUUGAUUUAGUACAGCGAACAAUCUAUAAGGGUUACAUCCCUGAAAUAAACGUAGCUGUAUUCAUAAUAGUCUAACUUAAAUUUUGAGCUAUAGUAUGUUUAUUUACGUGCAAUAUUGACUGGGAUAUCGCCAAAUAAAAUUUGGAACGAAGUUUUGAAAAUCUGACAAAUUGGCUAAAAAUGGCCUAUUAAACUGUUUUGAUAAAUUUUAGAAUUUCGUCAGACAUAUUCGCUUGUAUGAAUUUAAUUUGAAUUGAAACGUGCAACGAAUGAUUUUCCUUAUUUAUUUAUUUGUUUUAUUAUCAUUUGAAAAGCAACAAAAUUUCGAAAAAGAUGGCUCUUUUAAUUAAGAAUUGCUUCGCAGUAUUCCAUGUCCCAUAGCUACAGGGAAUUAAAUUAGAUCAACAACCGAACAAUUUGAGACAGCUUCGUGAAGUGAUUAUUGCUGAUUGCCAUAACUUUGACCAGCAAAUAAAUCCAACGUUAAUUCGUUCGAUAGUAUGGUCACACGUGCAAGAAUAUAGUUAUUUAAUUUUCCAUGAUAAACGCGUUAUUUACUG